GGCAAGGGAGAUCUUGAAAAAAGUAAGGGGUACCGAGAAGGUGGAGGCAGAGUUUGAGGAUCUAAUAGAGGCGAGCGAGGCGGCCCGUGCGGUGAAGAACCCCUUCCGCAACCUCUUCAAGCCGAAAAACCGCCCUCAGCUCAUUAUUGGCGCACUCGGGAUCCCUGCAUUCCAGCAACUCUCAGGCAUGAACUCGAUAUUGUUCUACUCUCCUGUGAUAUUCCAAAGCCUUGGUUUUGGAUCAGGGGCUUCUCUCUAUUCAUCCCUUAUUACCAGUUCUAUGCUUGUGAUCGGCGCGCUUGUUUCGAUGUCGGUGGUUGAUAGGCUGGGGAGGAGGUUUUUGUUCAUUGAAGCUGGUUGCCAAAUGAUCAUCUCUAUGGCUAUCAUUGCCUAUGUUCUUGCUACGCACUUCGGUCGAGGAGAGGUGCUUCCUAAAGAUAUAGCCAUGCUUUUGGUG
rnacentral:misc_RNA from 1 species